rnacentral:rRNA from 1 species
AUUGAACGCUGGCGGCAGGCCUAACACAUGCAAGUCGGGCGGGCGGCGGACGGGUGAGUGAUGUAUUGGGAUCUGCCUGAUGGAGGGGGAUAACUGCUGGAAACGGUAGCUACUGCCGCCUACCAUCAUAUCAACCCAUAUUGGAUGAGCGAGUAGGGGAGGUAACGGCUCACCUAGGCGACGAUCCCUAGCUGGUCUGAGAGGAUGAUCAGCCACACUGGGACUGAGACACGGCCCAGACUCCUACGGGAGGCAGCAGUGGGGAAUAUUGCACAAUGGGCGAAAGCCUGAUGCAGCCAUGCCGCGUGUAUGAAGAAGGCCUUCGGGUUGUAAAGUACUUUCAGUCGGGAGGCGUUACCGACAGAAGAAGCACCGGCUAACUCCGUGCCAGCAGCCGCGGUAAUUC